rnacentral:rRNA from 2 species
GGAUCCAGACUUUGAUUCUGGCUCAGGAUGAACGCUGGCGGCGUGCUUAACACAUGCAAGUCGAACGAAGCACUUUAUUUGAUUUCCUUCGGGACUGAUUAUUUUGUGACUGAGUGGCGGACGGGUGAGUAACGCGUGGGUAACCUGCCUUGUACAGGGGGAUAACAGUUGGAAACGGCUGCUAAUACCGCAUAAGCGCACGGCAUCGCAUGAUGCAGUGUGAAAAACUCCGGUGGCAUAAGAUGGACCCGCGUUGGAUUAGCUAGUUGGUGAGGUAACGGCCCACCAAGGCGACGAUCCAUAGCCGACCUGAGAGGGUGACCGGCCACAUUGGGACUGAGACACGGCCCAAACUCCUACGGGAGGCAGCAGUGGGGAAUAUUGCACAAUGGGCGAAAGCCUGAUGCAGCGACGCCGCGUGAGCGAAGAAGUAUUUCGGUAUGUAAAGCUCUAUCAGCAGGGAAGAUAAUGACGGUACCUGACUAAGAAGCACCGGCUAAAUACGUGCCAGCAGCCGCGGUAAUACGUAUGGUGCAAGCGUUAUCCGGAUUUACUGGGUGUAAAGGGAGCGCAGGCGGUGCGGCAAGUCUGAUGUGAAAGCCCGGGGCUCAACCCCGGUACUGCAUUGGAAACUGUCGUACUAGAGUGUCGGAGGGGUAAGCGGAAUUCCUAGUGUAGCGGUGAAAUACGUAGAUAUUAGGAGGAACACCAGUGGCGAAGGCGGCUUACUGGACGAUAACUGACGCUGAGGCUCGAAAGCGUGGGGAGCAAACAGGAUUAGAUACCCUGGUAGUCCACGCCGU